CUUGACGACCAUAGAGCGUUGGAACCACCUGAUCCCAUCCCGAACUCAGCAGUGAAACGAUGCAUCGCCGAUGGUAGUGUGGGGUUUCCCCAUGUGAGAGUAGGUCAUCGUCAAGAUUAAAUUCCGAAACCCC
rnacentral:rRNA from 1 species